rnacentral:rRNA from 1 species
UAACGAUUUGGGCACUGUCUCAACGAGAGACUCGGUGAAAUCAUAGUACCUGUGAAGAUGCAGGUUACCCGCGACAGGACGGAAAGACCCCGUGGAGCUUUACUGUAGCCUGAUAUUGAAAUUCGGCACAGCUUGUACAGGAUAGGUAGGAGCCUUUGAAACGUGAGCGCUAGCUUACGUGGAGGCGCUGGUGGGAUACUACCCUAGCUGUGUUGGCUUUCUAACCCGCACCACUUAUCGUGGUGGGAGACAGUGUCAGGCGGGCAGUUUGACUGGGGCGGUCGCCUCCUAAAAGGUAACGGAGGCGCUCAAAGGUUCCCUCAGAAUGGUUGGAAAUCAUUCAUAGAGUGUAAAGGCAUAAGGGAGCUUGACUGCGAGACCUACAAGUCGAGCAGGGUCGAAAGACGGACUUAGUGAUCCGGUGGUUCCGCAUGGAAGGGCCAUCGCUCAACGGAUAAAAGCUACCCCGGGGAUAACAGGCUUAUCUCCCCCAAGAGUUCACAUCGACGGGGAGGUUUGGCACCUCGAUGUCGGCUCAUCGCAUCCUGGGGCUGUAGUCGGUCCCAAGGGUUGGGCUGUUCGCCCAUUAAAGCGGUACGCGAGCUGGGUUCAGAACGUCGUGAGACAGUUCGGUCCCUAUCCGUCGUGGGCGUAGGAAAUUUGAGAGGAGCUGUCCUUAGUACGAGAGGACCGGGAUGGACAUACCUCUGGUGUACCAGUUGUCGUGCCAACGGCAUAGCUGGGUAGCUAUGUGUGGACGGGAUAAGUGCUGAAAGCAUCUAAGCAUGAAGCCCCCCUCAAGAUGAGAUUUCCCAACUUCGGUUAUAAGAUCCCUCAAAGAUGAUGAGGUUAAUAGGUUCGAGGUGGAAGCAUGGUGACAUGUGGAGCUGACGAAUACUAAUCGAUCGAAGACUUAAUCAA